rnacentral:rRNA from 1 species
UACGUAGGGUGCAAGCGUUAAUCGGAAUUAUUGGGCGUAAAGGGAGUGUAGGCGGUCUUUUAAGUCUUCUGUGAAAUCUACGGGCUUAGCCUGUAACGUGCAGAGGAAACUGGAAGGCUUGAGUGUCGGAGAGGAUAGGGGAAUACCCAGUGUAGAGGUGAAAUUCGUAGAGAUUGGGUGGAACACCAGUGGCGAAGGCGCCUAUCUGGCUGACAACUGACGCUGAGACUCGAAAGCAUGGGGAGCAAACAGG